CGCGUAGGCGGUUUGGCAAGUCAGAUGUGAAAUCCCCGGGCUUAACUCGGGAAUUGCAUCUGAAACUGCUUUUCUUGAGUCCUGGAGGGGUAGUGGAAUUCCCAGUGUAGCGGUGAAAUGCGUAGAUAUUGGGAGGAACACCUGUGGCGAAGGCGGCUACCUGGACAGUGACUGACGCUGAGGCGCGAAAGCUAGGGGAGCGAACGG
rnacentral:rRNA from 1 species